ACAGCCUAUCAGAGCAGAGUGCUGCGUAUAUAAAAGCCGCUUGUUGUGCUACCCGGGAUGCGUCAUCGCUAGCUCCGCCCCUUGGUGUGUGUGGGUUUCCGCAUGGAAAAGCUGGAAUAGCUUCUGGUUUGCGGUUUUGCAGUGGUGCGCAGGCUGUCAUUGAUCCCCGGCUGGGUUGAGUCCACUUUCCGUGUGAAUUGUCAAACAUUAUGCUGUGAGCAAUCAUACAACUUAGGUUAUUUUGACGAAGAUUUGGGUACGUAUCAGUGUAUUUUUAUGUAUUACAUUUGUUAAUUUGGUUAACGAAUUGUUAAAUCUUAGCAGGAUAUUCCGUAGAGACGCUUCGAUUGCAGCCAACAGAUUAAGACUGUGCUGCUGUUUUGCUGCUAUUUCCUC